rnacentral:rRNA from 1 species
AACGAACGCUGGCGGCAGGCUUAACACAUGCAAGUCGAACGAGCUGGGCGCUUCUGUCCCCGAUGCUAGUGGCGCACGGGUGAGUAACACGUGUGAAUAUGCCCUUUAGUACUUAAUAACCAAGUCAAACUUUUGCUAAUACCGUAUACUCCCUUCGGGGGCAAGAUUUAUCGCUAAAGGAUUAUCCCGCGUCUGAUUAGGUAGUUGGUGAGGUAAUGGCUAACCAAGGAGACGAUCAGUAGCUGGUCUGAGAGGAGGAUCAGCCACACUGGGAAUGAGACACGGACCAGAAUGCUACGGGAGGGAGCAGUGGGGAAUAUUAGAGGAUGGGGGCAAACCUGAUACAGCCAUGCCGGGUGAGAGAAGAAGGGCUUCGGGUUGUAAAGCUGUUUGGAAGGGGACGAUGAUGACGGUAACCGUAUAAGAAGCACCGGCAAACUUCGUG